CCAUUCUGAGGCUUGUUUGUUUGGUCGCUAGAGUACUAAAACAGGCUUAACAUCUUUGCAUUUUUCUCUUUUACCAGAUUUCCUCCCAUCUUAUUCCAGGACUACCUGACUCAACGCUACAAGGACACUCAUGCUGAUCUGAAAUUUACAAGAAACAGCAAGCUUGAAUAGUCAACCUUUGGAACUGAACAGCCUAGUGUUUUUUCACAAAAGCACUCACUUACACUGAUUUGGAUAUUUACCUUAAACAAGAAGCUUAGGAAGUUUUUUGCUUUUGGAGCUAAGUAGCCAGGAAAUUUUGAACUGCAUAUUGUUUUAGAGACAACAGCAUCAUAUGUUAAACAUGUUAUUUAGAUUUUGUUGGGAUAGUCCUGGGGAAAGGGUGGGAAGAUAGCUACAUGGUUUGGUAUUUAUUGCUACAGCUAAAAGAAAAACAUGAAUGAAAUCAAAAGCUCUUUCUUUCAAAAGUUACCUCCUAAAGCAUUAGAUGAAAAAGCAAAGAGAAGAAAAGCAUUUUUGUGGAAAGGUUAGAAGAUUUUACAUGUACAAUUUGAAAAAGGGUAAAAUUGGAAAUUUAUUUAUUUGAGAAUACAGGAAGAAAGUUAUGGAGGGGGCAGAAAAAAAAGCUGCCCAUGUUUAGGCCCAUCUGAGGUGUAUUGGGUUUGAAGGCCCGUAUCAUUUAAAAUUUGUAAAAUAUUUUUUUAAAUAUUUAUGGAUAUUCACUAAUAUACGUAAGCUUUAAAAUAUUUACAAUAGAUAAUGUUUUUUUAUUACAAAUCAAGUAAUAAGUAGAUAUUAUUGGUGUGUGCCUAUAUUCAACCAAACUAUUACCUUCAUAUUUUAGAUUAAAAAUAAUAUUAAUCUCUUAUGUAAAUUAUAUAAAUUGAAUUUAUGAUUCAUUUCUUAAUCACAAUUCAAAAACAUGAAAAUUACUAUCUAUAUAAAGUACUUGACUUAUGAUUAUUAUGAGUUAAUUAGUUAUACUCUCUUUUAAUUAGUAUUCGAUAGUACAAUUUACUUUCCAUUCUUUUUAAUUGAGAAAAACAAAGGACUCGUAACAUUUUUUUUAAUAAUGUUUUGAAAAUAAACUAUCUAUUAUUAUUUUAUUAUUUUAUAUAUUUAAAACGGAUUAAAAAAAUUAUUAAAAACUUUUUCUGAAAACAAAAUACAUUUCUUAAAGAAACACGUUUUCAUUAUAAAAAAGCUAGUCUUAUAAUGUGUAUUGGUUCAGUUAUUUGUCACUGUUUUUCCCUCUAUAGUUAGUAUACAUUGCAUCCCGUUAGGUAAAGCUGAUUAGAUACCACUGUCUAAUAAGGUAGUUAAAGUCUACUUAAAGGUACAUGCAAAAUUAUUAAAAUAAUCGUUUAUUUUAAUUGGGUGAGAAAUUAUAUAAGGCAUGUUCUACUAAUUUUUGUUACAAAAAGUCUUUUUAACAACUUUUUAAAAAUUUGUUCACAACACAUACAUGAUAAUUUGUGAUUAGUCCGUUUCAAAUAUUUUUUUUAAAUAUAUUUAAAUAGACCAAUAGAAUGGUAACACGUAUUCUGUUGUAAAAAAUUGUUAAAAUAUUAUUUUUUUAGUGUCAAUGAAAUAAGAAUUUAAAAGUAAACUGGUAACUCAUUUGACACAAUAUUCAAUAAUUAUUGUUGUUUAUUUAAUGAUAAAAAAAUUUCUUUCCCAAAAUUGUUUGGAUUCGUGAUUACAUACACCAAGUUAUUUAUUUAUUAUUACUCUUAUCAUUAUUUCAUUAAUAAAAGGAAUAAUAUAUUAUUGAUUUCAAUAAACCAUUUAAUAGAAAUUAAUUAUUCCUAUACCACAUUGGUUAUAAAUUAGACAAUCAACCAUUAAAUUAAUUAUAAAUUAGAUGGUUAAUUAUUAAUUAAAAGAUCAAACUAAAUUAUUGUGAAAACUAAACCAAUCAGUCAUUUAUCAAAAUAAUUAAACAAUGAUAAAUUUUAAAUCUUUGUUAAUUAUAAAUCAAUUUUAAAUUUAUUUUAAUAAUAUAAAUUUAUCUUUUUAUACACAAUAGCAAAAAAAUUGUGGCCACGUAAAUCAGAAAAAAUGAGUUAAUAAAAAAGGUACUUAAAGUGUCCAAAAAAGUGCAGCAUGUGUUGAUUGAUUUGAUAUGUGGCGUCCAUAUAGCCUCUCGUCACUGUUAUACGCAUGCAUGCCAUACCAAAUUUUAAACUAUUAUUUAAUUAAUGUUUUAAAUUACUAAGUUUUCUUGAAUGAUAAAUAAGUAUUUAGUACAAACUUUAUAUUAUAUUUUUCUAAUACAUGUUUUUCAUUUAUUCAAGAUAUAAAAUCUUGAAAAACUAUAGUUUGAGGUUUAAUCAUACAUAUUUAAAUGAGUAAAUAUUAAUCAAAUAAUAAUCUUGAGUUAUUUUGUUAAUCAUGAUAAAACUUAUUUACUUCGCUUAAAUAUAUUUUAUAAUAUAUUUGUUUCCACUUUUUUGCCACUUGCAUAUAAUAAAAAUGAAAAUAUAAAUUUAAAUAAAUAAUAGUAUUUCCGUUGUUUUCUAAAAGGACUAAUAAUAAUCAUAUUUUAUCUAUCACCUAUCACCCACUAUCUACACCUUUAGUCAAAUGUUUCCGCAACCAUAUAAAUAUAUAAACAAUGUAAAGAAAAAAACAUUAAAUAAAUAAAACUCUUCAUUUCAAUUUAAAUAACUAUAUAUAUAUGAUCUGGAUAAGGAUAAAAUACCAAACAUGGGAAGACAGAGCACACAAUUCUCUGCCCUCAACUGCAUCGACCUAUCCAACUCCGACAUCAACCAAUCCGUUCGUUUACUCAAACAGGUUUGCUCUUUUCCUCUGUUUCAUCUCUCUGUUUUUUUGUGAUCUUAUGUUGUUGUUUUGUUUCAGGCGUGCUUGGAUUCGGGUUUUUUCUACGUUGUCAACCAUGGCAUUAGCCAGGAAUUCAUGCACGAGGUUUUUGCACAGAGCAAGAAGUUUUUCUCUCUUCGCCUCGAGGAAAAGAUGAAGAUUCUCAGGAAUGAAAAACACAGGGGAUAUACCCCUGUUCUUGAUGAGCUUCUUGAUCCUGAAAAUCAACUUCUUGGUAUGUAUGCAGUACCCAUUUGGAUUUUUCUGCAUGUUUGCAUGGAUUCCACCACCCUGUUUUCUUAUUCUUCUUCUUCAUGAUUCUGAACGGAAAAGACUUAGACGGUUGCUUUUGGUGUUACUGUCUUGUCAGAAUUGAAGUUUUGCAUGUAUAAUCUAUAUUGAUAUUGAUGUUUGAUGCAAACAUUUGUCACGCAUUACCGAAAUAAAACGUCAAUUCUAAUUGGAAAUCAACACAAAAGAGUAUAGAAAGAACUGUAUCUUAGUUUUGAUCAAACCGAACAAAACAUAAGGUCAGUUAAUUACGUGCUUAUAGUGUUGCCUUUCUNCCAAAAUUGAAGCUUUGCAUAAAAGAUCUAUGUUGAUGUUUCAUGUANGCCUUUACUGUGCAAAGUAUUACAAUAAAUUCUAAUUGUAAAGCACUAGAAGUUUUGAAAUAACCAUGUACAAGGUUUUUGUCUUUCAAAACCUUAAUAACCUCUUCUCUGCUUGGAUAAAUAGGAGACUAUAAAGAGGGGUAUUAUAUUGGAGUUGAAAAAGCUGAAGAUGACCCAGAAUCGAAGAAGCCUUUCUAUGGUCAGAAUAGAUGGCCUUCACCAGGUAAAAGAGCCAAGUUUUCAGUCUUCGUGGCUUUUGGAGACAAAAUGUCUGUUUUCUACCAAUUGAGUCUUCCAACAUUUUGGAUUUUAUUUUCUUGAACUUUUUUCCUAUGCAGAUGUUUUGCCGGGGUGGAGGGAGACCAUGGAAAAGUUCCAUCGAGANACAUUGUACGUUUUACUGAUGGUUUUUUCGUUUAUUUUUGUCAUAAGAUACUAUCUCAGCUCAGCUAGUAUGUUUUUUGAUCAUCUGUGUUGCAUGUGAAACUAGUUAAUAGAUGAAGUAAGACUUUGAAUUGCAGUUAUGAUUUUGACAUUUUUUUAUAAUUCAGACAUGUGCUACCGGUGCAGUCACUCUACUGUCUUGAACAUUAUGUUUUGCUCGAAAUCAUGAUCAUUGACUGUUUUCUAAAACCCUGACAUGGAGCAGUGUUUGGUUUUCAUUUCAACAAAAAGAUUUCCAUUGUGUUUCUUGUUGGCUGUUCUUCCUCUCCCUGGUGGGAGGGGAUGAAUUUCUGACUUUUUUUAUUUUAUUCUAUUGUCAAUGUUAUUACUCCCUUCCCAUGAAGGAAGCUAUAGAUCAUGUUUAACUGCUUUGGUUGUUCAUAUGGACUCAAAUUCUGCAUUAGGAGAAAAGGGCUUCAAUUUUUUUAUAUUUUUUCUGUAGUAAUUUGUUCUGCCUGUUUUGUUGGGUAAUCCAGAGAAGUGGGGAAAGUUGUUGCAAAGAUAAUAGCCCUUGCACUUGAUUUGGAGGAAAAUUUUUUUGACCAGCCAAAAAUGUUCGGAGAGCCAAUUGCAACUCUGCGUUUGCUGCACUAUGAAGGUAUUGUAUGUGAUAUUCUUGGAAAGAAGUAUUGUAAUACUAAUGUAGAAAGUCACAAAUUCNGAACCAGUACCACGUGGUCACUGUGUCUGGUACAAUUGCAAAGAAAAAAAACUUACACGGUUGUAUUCAUCUACCUUCAAUGAAGGUCAAAUCUCAGACCCCUCGAAAGGAAUAUAUGGAGCUGGUGCUCAUACUGACUUUGGUUUUAUUACACUGUUGGCAACAGAUGAUGUUUCAGGCCUUCAAGUAAGAAAGCAAAUGAUAUUUUUUCUUCAAUAUUACAAAAAUUUGUGUGUUCUGAAGUUAGAGGAACAAUGUCUUUCAUUGUAGAUAUGCAAGAAUAGGGAUGCUAAACCUCAGAUAUGGGAGGAUGUGGCACCAUUGAAGGGGUUAGUCCAUAUGUCAUUGUAGCUUUUAUUUCUAUUUGCAUGCAACGCAGUUGUGAGAAUCCUUAUUUCUUCAUCCCUACGAUUUAUUUCAUGAGUUAAUUUCUAAACUUCUUCAGACACUCCCUUGUUCUUUCAAGAUUAUUUUAUCCUGGAUUUGUUUAUGUAGUCAGUUUUUGUCAUUCAUACAAAUCUAUUGAUGGGAUGAUGUGAGAAGCCAUACUAUUCAUUUGAUAGUAUCACUAGCACGCACAAAACAAUUCAUUCAUUGUAAAAUUACACUUAUCUGGACAACUGAUAUAUUUCUGAAAUUUUAGUUCUUUUUUAGCUGUAUUAUGCCAAUUACUAAGCAUAAUUGGCUGCAAAGACAAGAAGUAUAUAUGCUACUAGGUUUUAACUUUAUUACCUUUGUCAUGCCCUUCUGAAUUAUAUUACAUUAUCUGACAGACUGCUUAUAUUGCAGAGCCUUCAUUGUGAAUCUUGGUGACAUGCUNGAGCGCUGGAGCAACUGUGUUUUCAAGUAAGAAAUCUUUCCCACUUUUGAAUAUUUCUAAUUUUGAAUGAAGGCAGGCAUACUUCUGAGAUUAGAGAAAUUCAAAAGACAGAUAUUGAUUUCUGUUAUGAGCUACUGCUACUACUAUUCUCUAGAGAAAAUUGUAAGCUUCAGUAGAAGCUUAUACACAAGGAAUUUGUGAUUAGUAGUGCAUUUUUUUCUUUGAAUUUUUGUAAUAAACAAAUUACGUUGUAUUUAUGCUCAGGUCCACACUGCACAGAGUUCUAGGAAAUGGUCANGAAAGAUAUUCUGUAAGCCCCAGCUUUUUUUACUCUUUACCUUCUGUCAUUUAUAUUCAUAGCAAUAUCGGUAUUAAAUUGUUUAAUACAUAAUAUANUUAGCCUCCCUAAAGACCUCGAUAUUUAUUUUAUAUCUCAGUACUUAUCUGGUCAAAAUAUAAAUAGUAUUUCAAUAUUUAUCUUGUGGUCUUGUGGUUCUCCAUUAUCUUCUGCCAUCAUUGGAAUUCAUAAUGCUAAGGAAAAUUAUUGGCUACUGCUUACAGCCACCAGGAUUGACUUCUGUCACGGUCGUUGGUUUUUCCAGCACAGUCGGUCUUCCCCUUUUUUUAUUCAUUGAUAGCGACAAUAUGAACCACCACUAUGUUAUUAUAUUCCAAAAUUUGGUCUCUUUCUUGAUUAUGGAUCUAUGUAUAUCAUAUCAGUUUUAACUUGCAAAGCUUGGCAAAAUCAUGCAACAUGCUCAUCACUGUGCUGUUUACUUUUACAGAUUGCAUACUUCUUGGAGCCAAGUCAUGACUGUCUAGUAGAGUGCUUGCCAACCUGCAAAUCUGAUAGUAAUCCUCCUAAGUAAGUUAAACAUGCCAUCUAAAAAUUAGCAGCAUAGUGUAUGUUNGAAAGUUAAUCUCACAUUCAGAUUCCAUCCUUCCAUUCUGAGGCUUGUUUGUUUGGUCGCUAGAGUACUAAAACAGGCUUAACAUCUUUGCAUUUUUCUCUUUUACCAGAUUUCCUCCCAUCUUAUGCCAGGACUACCUGACUCAGCGCUACAAGGACACUCAUGCAGAUCUGAACAUUUACAAGAAACAGCAAGCUUGAAUAGUCGACCUUUGGAACUGAACAGCCUAGUGUUUUUUUCACAAAAACACUCACUUACACUGAUUUGGAUAUUUACCUUAAACAAGAAGCUUAGGAAGUUUGCUUUUGGAGCUGAGUAGCCAGGAAAUUUUGUACUGCAUUUAGAGAUAACAGCAUCAUAUGUUAAACAUGUUAUUUAGAUUUUGUUGGGAUGGUCCUGGGGAAGGGGUGGGGAGAUAGCUAUAUGGUUUGGUAUUUAUUGCUACAGCUAAAAGAAAAACAUGAAUGAAAUCAAGCGAUGUAUUUUUUUAUUCAGCCCAAUGCUGGGAAUAGGAUAUGAAGAAAAAAAAUUAGAAUUGUUUCUAGUCAAUAAAUAUACUUUGCAAACAAAAGUUUAUGUUUUACUGAACUUUGUUAUAGUGUUUGUAUUUCUCCAAAUGCUUUACACAAUCGUAUUCUUUUUAAGCAUCAAUGUUUUUUGUGGACGAGGUAGUACGAAAGUGCGAAUGUGUUGGUGAUAGAAUGUGAAAUGAUGUUGAAAUUGUGUGGGGUUCCAUUGAAAGAGGGAAAGAAACUGUUUUUUUUUUUUUUUUUU
rnacentral:lncRNA from 1 species